CUGACUGUAGAGAGGAUGACAGAGAACAGUGGACACACAGUUUAACAUGAUGGACUAUAGGACAGGACUGCUGCUUUUAAUUCUCUGCUGGGCAGGUGUUGAUGGUCAGACUCUGACGGAAUCUGAACCAGUGGUUAAAAGACCUGGACAAUCCCACAGACUGACCUGUACAGGCUCUGGAUUUGACUUCAGUAGCGCUUGGAUGGCCUGGAUCAGACAGGCUCCAGGAAAAGGACUGGAGUGGGUUGCAACUAUUGAAUAUGACAGUGAUAGAAUCUUCUACUCUCAGUCAGUCCAAGGCCGGUUUACCAUCUCCAGAGACAACAGCAAACAGCAGCUGUAUCUGCAGAUGAACAGUCUGAAGACCGAAGAUUCUGCUGUUUAUUAUUGUGCUCGACAGCCACAGUGACUGGAGUUGGUUGAACAGCUGUACAA